UACGUAGGGUCCAAGCGUUAAUCGGAAUGACUGGGCGUGAAGGGUGCGCAGGCGGUUUUGUAAGACAGAUGUGAAAUCCCCGGGCUUAACCUGGGAACUGCAUAUGUGACUGCAAGGCUAGAGUGUGUCAGAGGGGGGUAGAAUUCCACGUGUAGCAGUGAAAUGCGUAGAGAUGUGGAGGAAUACCGAUGGCGAAGGCAGCCCCCUGGGACGAUACUGACGCUCAUGCACGAAAGCGUGGGGAGCAAACAGG
rnacentral:rRNA from 1 species